rnacentral:lncRNA from 1 species
AUGUACAUGGAUGAUCUAAAGCUUUACGGAAAAUCAGAAACAGAAAUUCAGUCACUAACCAACACAGUCAGAAUCUUCAGCACUGACAUCAGUAUGGAGUUCGGCCUAAACAAAUGCACCACAGUGGCCUUAAGGAAAGGGAAAAUUGCUCACAGCGAGAGCAUAGAGAUGCCAAAUGGACAAACCAUAAAAUGCAAUGAGCCUGAAGCCUAUAAAUAUCUGGGCAUACUGCAGUUGGACAAUAUCAAGCAUGGGCAUGUGAAAAAUGUGGUCAGCAAAGAAUAUAUCCAAAGAGUCAGAAAUACUUUGAAGAGCAAAUUAAAUGGCGGAAAUACGAUCAAGGCUCUCAACACCUGGGCCAUACCCGUCAUUAGAUACACUGCUGGAAUUGUGAACUGGACACAAGUAGAGCUAGAUGAUCUGGACAGAAAAAUAAUCCACUACUCAUUACACCCGCAUAGUGAUGUUGACAGACUUUACCUGCCCAGAAAAUCAGGAGGCAGAGGGCUUCUGCAAGUGAAACAAACGGUAGAGGAAGAGAAACAUGCCCUGGCAGAUUAUGUGAAAGGCAGUGAAGAACCAACAUUGAGGGAAGUCAACAGUAGUAAACUGCUUCAAGUGCAAAAGACAAAGAGUGAAUACCAUAAAAACACAAUCCAGAGCAAAAGAGAAAACUGGCAAAAGAAGGCUCUCCACGGACAGUUCCUGGGGAAAAUCAAGAGCCAAAUUGACAAAGAAAAAACAUGGCUGUGGCUCACAAAUGGAACUUUGAAAAUGGAGACAGAGGGCCUGAUUCUGGCAGCCCAAGAACAAGCCAUUAGAACCAAUGCCAUCAAAGCCAAAAUUGAAAAGUCGAUGAGAGAUCCUAAAUGUCGAUUCUGCAAGGAAGCAGAUGAAACAAUAGAUCACGUCCUCAGCUGCUGCAAGAAGAUCGCACAGACAGACUACAAGCAGAGGCAUAAUACCGUUGCUCAGAUGAUUAAUUGGAACUUGUGCCACAAAUACCAGCUACCUGUGACAAAGAACUGGUGGGAUCAUAAACCGGAAAAAGUUACAGAGAAUGAACAUGUCAAGCUAAUCUGGGACUUCCAAAUUCAGACAGACAGGAUUUUGGAGCACAAUACUCCUGAACUCACGAUCAUGUUAAAAAACAAAGUAUGGAUUGUCGAUAUUGGAAUCCCAGGGGACAGCAGGACUGAAGAAAAACAACUGGAAAAGCUAACACGAUAUGAGGACAUAAAGAUCAAAUUGCAAAGACUCUGA